rnacentral:rRNA from 1 species
GGAGUUAGCCGGUGCUUCUUCUGUGAGUGAUGUCCUUCCUGCCGGCUAUUAACCCGCAGGCCUUCUUCCUCACUGAAAGUGCUUUACAACCCGAAGGCCUUCUUCACACACGCGGCAUGGCUGGAUCAGGGUUGCCCCCAUUGUCCAAUAUUCCCCACUGCUGCCUCCCGUAGGAGUCUGGGCCGUGUCUCAGUCCCAGUGUGGCUGAUCAUCCUCUCAGACCAGCUACGGAUCGUCGCCUUGGUGAGCCGUUACCUCACCAACCAGCUAAUCCGACAUAGGCUCAUCCGAUAGCGCGAGGCCCGAAGGUCCCCCGCUUUCCCCCGUAGGGCGUAUGCGGUAUUAGCCUGGGUUUCCCCAGGUUACUCCCCCGACUACCGGGCAGAUUCCUAUGCAUUACUCACCCGUCCGCCGCUCGCCACCAGGGAGCAAGCUCCCCGUGCUGCCGCUCGACUUGCAUGUGUACGCNCGCCGCCACGCGUACACUCUGACGCCGACGACGUACAACUACGUACGUACGUAGGACGGCGGGCGUCGGACGACGGCGC